rnacentral:rRNA from 1 species
UAAUAUAUCGGAACGUACCCUGGAGUGGGGGAUAACGUAUCGAAAGUUACGCUAAUACCGCAUACGAUCUAAGGAUGAAAGUGGGGGAUCGCAAGACCUCAUGCUCGUGGAGCGGCCGAUAUCUGAUUAGCUAGUUGGUAGGGUAAAAGCCUACCAAGGCAUCGAUCAGUAGCUGGUCUGAGAGGACGACCAGCCACACUGGAACUGAGACACGGUCCAGACUCCUACGGGAGGCAGCAGUGGGGAAUUUUGGACAAUGGGCGAAAGCCUGAUCCAGCAAUGCCGCGUGAGUGAAGAAGGCCUUCGGGUUGUAAAGCUCUUUUGUCAGGGAAGAAACGGUGAGAGCUAAUAUCUCUUGCUAAUGACGGUACCUGAAGAAUAAGCACCGGCUAACUACGUGCCAGCAGCCGCGGUAAUACGUAGGGUGCAAGCGUUAAUCGGAAUUACUGGGCGUAAAGCGUGCGCAGGCGGUUUUGUAAGUCUGAUGUGAAAUCCCCGGGCUCAACCUGGGAAUUGCAUUGGAGACUGCAAGGCUAGAAUCUGGCAGAGGGGGGUAGAAUUCCACGUGUAGCAGUGAAAUGCGUAGAUAUGUGGAGGAACACCGAUGGCGAAGGCAGCCCCCUGGGUCAAGAUUGACGCUCAUGCACGAAAGCGUGGGGAGCAAACAGGAUUAGAUACCCUGGUAGUCCACGCCCUAAACGAUGUCUACUAGUUGUCGGGUCUUAAUUGACUUGGUAACGCAGCUAACGCGUGAAGUAGACCGCCUGGGGGAGUACGGUCGCAAGAUUAAAACUCAAAGGAAUUGACGGGGGACCCGCACAAGCGGUGGAU